AAACGACUCUCGGCAACGGAUAUCUCGGCUCUCGCAUCGAUGAAGAACGUAGCGAAAUGCGAUACUUGGUGUGAAUUGCAGAAUCCCGUGAACCAUCGAGUCUUUGAACGCAAGUUGCGCCCUACGCCUUCGGGCCGAGGGCACGUCUGCCUGGGUGUCACGCAU
rnacentral:rRNA from 1 species